rnacentral:rRNA from 1 species
AUUGAACGCUGGCGGCAGGCCUAACACAUGCAAGUCGAGCGGAUGAAGGGAGCUUGCUCCUGGAUUCAGCGGCGGACGGGUGAGUAAUGCCUAGGAAUCUGCCUGGUAGUGGGGGAUAACGUCCGGAAACGGGCGCUAAUACCGCAUACGUCCUGAUGGAGAAAGUGGGGGAUCUUCGGACCUCACGCUAUCAGAUGAGCCUAGGUCGGAUUAGCUAGUUGGUGGGGUAAAGGCCUACCAAGGCGACGAUCCGUAACUGGUCUGAGAGGAUGAUCAGUCACACUGGAACUGAGAAACGGUCCAGACUCCGACGGGAGGCAGCAGUGGGGAAUAUUGGACAAUGGGCGAAAGCCUGAUCCAGCCAUGCCGCGUGUGUGAAGAAGGUCUUCGGAUUGUAAAGCACUUUAAGUUGGGAGGAAGGGCAGUAAGUUAAUACCUUGAUGUUUUGACGUUACCAACAGAAUAAGCACCGGCUAACUUCGUG